rnacentral:rRNA from 2 species
UUGACCUCGAUCAGGUAG